GUAGGUGAACCUGCGGAAGGAUCAUUAUCGAUUCAACGAAGUGCCUGUGAGUUGUGCUGGCCUCUCUCGGGGCAUGUGCACGCUUCAUGGGUCUUCACACAUCCACACCUGUGAACCAAUUGUAGGUCUUUCGGGACCUAUGUCUUCUCAUAACACACUGUAUGUCUAGAAUGUCAUUAUGAUUAUCGUCUGCUUCCUUUGUGGAGUUGGGCUGAUAAGAUAAACAAUAUACAACUUUCAGCAACGGAUCUCUUGGCUCUC
rnacentral:misc_RNA from 1 species